AGAAUAAGAGAAACGUAAGAUCACUCGAACCUCUGCCAAGUGGAGAUCAAGAACGAAUAUACACUUAGGAAAGAAAAAAAGCUGAAGUCAAUAGAAAAAUCUAUUACAUAAAGUAUUGAACUAUUACUUGUUCCUUGAUUGAUACGCUUCUUAUUUUGUUCCCAUUAAAAAAUAUAAAGCAUCCUUCAGAUGAUAGGCAACAUUCAAUUCCCAAGUAUGGAUUGAUUAUUGAUUGCAAGAAAGACUUCGCACUUAGAAGGAAAAAACUUCUAAGAAAUACAAGACUAUUACUGUCUAAAAGCUAAAAAUAUUUUUCAUAUACUAUCACAAGAAUAGAAUAAUUUCUUGCAAAUAAAAUGUUUAUGGAGGAGUUCCUUUUGUGGCUCAGUGGUUAACGAACCCGACUAGUAUCCAUGAGGAUGCGGGUUUGAUCCCUGGCCCUGCUCAGUGGGUUGAGGAAACGGCGUUGCCGUGAGGUGUAGUGGCUUGGAUCCCACGUUACUGUGGCUGUGGUGUAGGCCAGCAGCUGUAACUCUGAUUAGACCCCCUAGCCUGGGAACCUCCAUAUGCUGCGGGUGCGGCCCUAAAAAGCAAACAAACAAACAAAAAUUAAGUAAGCAACAUAUGCUGUUUCUUCUCUAUGCCAAAAUCACAUUCAUCUAGUAAUAGUGUGUUGAAUACCUACUAUGUGUCUAACACUAUUCUAGGAAGGAAGGGCAGGGCAGCAAAGAGAAAGCAUAAAGUUUCUAUUCUCAUGGAACUUAUAUACGUGUAGAUCUUUCCUGUACAAAGCUACAAAGAAAUCUCAGAAAGAUUAAUUCAAAAUUAAUUUGUUUACAUUCCCAGGAGAAGAACUACUAGGUCUCCAGCGAGGAACAUUAAAAAACUCAUUGAUACCUAUUAGCAGAAAUGACAUUUAAAAUAUUUAACAACCAAUUAUCAACAGAAUCGCCCUCCAGUCAGAACAAAGGCCAGGAGUUCCUGCAGUGGCGCAGUGGGUUGAGAAUCCAACUGCAGCGUCUCAAGGCAUUGCAAAGGAGCAGGUUUGAUCCUGUCCCCUCACAGUGGGUUAAAGGAUCCGGCACUGCUGCCGCUGUGGCAUAGGUCACAGCUGGGGCUCAGAUUCAGUCCCUGACCUGGGAACUUCCGUAUGCCCUGGGUGUGGUCGUAAAAAAAAUUUAAAAUUAAAGAAAUAAAAAAUUAAAAAAACAGGCCAGCUGUGCUGUAGCAACCUGACUGAAAAACAGCCUUAAUUGUUGCCCGGGUCUUUUCCAGAAAAGGAUGACCAGUUACCCCCUGUCAUCAGAGAGUAAAGGUCCCUAUCUUAUUGAACUCUGACCAGAACCGAAUAGCCACCAUUUGUAAAACAAAAAACAAAUGAAUAGAAACCAAAACAGGAGUUCCCGUCAUGGCACAGUGGAAAGGAAUUCAACUCGGAACCAUGAGGUUGUGGGUUCGAUCCCUGGCCUCACUCAGUGGGUUAAGGAUCCAGCGUUGCCAUGAGCUGUGGUGUAGGUUGCAGACAAAGCUCUGAUCCCAUGUUGCUGUGGCUGUGGUGUAGCCCGGCAGCUACAGCCCCCGUUUGACCCCUAGCCUGGGAACCUCCAUAUGCCGCACGUGCAGCCCUAAAAAGUACAAAAAGACGAAAAAGGAAAAAAAGAAAAAGAAACCAAAACAAAAAAACCCACUUUGCUUAUUUGAUAGGUAAGUUACUUUAUUAUGCAUUUGAUUUCUCAAGAAAUUAACUUCUUUAAGACAUGUUCAUCAGUGUUUGGAAUUUCCUCGCAUAACUGUUCUCUUCUUAAUCUUUACUUACCAGAAAAUUUGAAUUUAUCUUAACUGUUGCGCAUAAACACGUCAUAUCUUAAAGUGUCAUAUUUGGUCUGUCUUUUCUAGUUUGUUGGGUUUAAAAUCUGAUAUGUAUUUUUGACACAGAAAAAUAUAAAUCUAUGGUUCCUGCAGGGGGUUAGAACUAGAAGGGUUCCCCCACUACUUUACACUUCUCCAUGUGUUCCAAAUAUUCUUCAAUGAACAUUUUUCCUAAUUAUCGAUAUAGGACCAUGCUAAUGUAAUUAACGCAUUCCCAUUUUAAAGGCACCCAAGGAAAUAACAUAAGGAAAUAUCUAUUCUGCAAGUAACUUCUACCUUCACUUUACUGUGGUACCAUUUCCUUCUAGGUCGUCCUUCACGAUAAAAGAGCAUCAAUGUGGGCAUUUUAUUCAAAUUUGCUAUUUUUACUAAAGGGAAAAACAUUGCUACUGAUGAUGUGUCCUGUCGCAUUCAACAGAAAUCCAGGCUUCACUUUCAAAGGUCUUUUCCUCUAAGUUUCUAAAUCUACUGCCAAGAGCUGCUACCUUCACACUAAUGCAUGUACCCAGGGUGUGCUGGGCAGUCUCACCUGCAAUCCCAACCCGAGGGAAUGAGCUAGUUCACCCCGCCGCUCAUCUGAGCCUGACUCACCACAUCCUGCACCAUCAAGCAACAGUAACAUGGCACACAUCACCUCGGUGCCCUCGAUAAAUAUUUGUGGAAUGAAUGAAUGAGUCAAUGGAAACUUCAUCCAGUUAUUUAAUUCCUUCGUGCUCAUGAUCAGAGUCCGUUUAGAUCACAUACAUAGUUUAUUAUCCUGGUUUUCAGGAUAAUGUGUGUCAACCUCUCUGCCAAGUGCUGGGGAUGCCACUGUGAAGAGAAAAGUACCCUGUUCUCAUGGAUCUAUGACAAAUAUUAGUUAUGAAAAUGCAAUAAUAUGAGGCUUUACAUAUAUAACUUUUUUUUUUAAACUUCCAAUCAUACCAUUAGGAACUCUUAAGGCCCUGAGAUCGACUGAAAAAAAAAAACACACAAAAAAAAAACAGUUUAAAAAAAAAUCUAGUACGUAGUUGCCUUCCCUAAACUGUUGCCAAGGAAUGUGAGACAGCUAAAUGUUUAGAUAUCUAUAAUCCUGACACAAGUGUUUUCUUUUCAUUAAUUAUACACGGGUAGUCAGUUUUCUUAAUAACUAAAAGCUACUCCAGUUUUAAAAAUAAACAUGAAUAGAUAUUUUGAAGGAAAGCCACCAUGUUUGGGUCUAUUUUUGAGUGGUUGUAAGUUAUUUCUAGCUGCAUCUUACUUACUUCACUGUUUUGAGCUCCUAUUUCUGUGUUACAGAUUUCUUUGGGCAAAUGUUGAUAUAACCAAUACACGAAUAGCCAUGCUUUAAAAAUAAACCAAAAUGAGAGUAAAUUAAAAACAUACAACACUGCUGGCCAGACUCGGUGUUUCAUUGCAGGGCAGGGGGAGGUUUGUGGAUUCUGCAACAGGAGGCACUACAGUUAGACUCUAGUCUCAGCGCUUCACUGCACUAGCAGUGAUGUCACAUAAUCUGUGUUACAGUUUCCUCGUCUGUAACUGAAAAUAAUAAAACCACACUUAAAGCCACUAAACUGGGAGUUCCUGUCGUGGCGCAGUGGUUAAGGAAUCCGACUAGGAACCAUUCGGUUGUGGAUUCGAUCCCUGGACUCGCCCAGUGGGUUAACAGUCGGCGUUGCCGUGAGCUGUGGUCUGUGGUGUGAGUCGCAGGUGCAGCCCGGAUCCCCGGUUGCUGUGACUGUGGUGCAGGCUGGCAGCUGUAACUCCGAUCGGACCCCUAGCCUGGGAACCUCCAUAUGCUGUGGGUGCAGCCCUAAAA
rnacentral:lncRNA from 1 species